rnacentral:lncRNA from 1 species
GUUAGAAGGCUGCGGCCAGGGCUGAGGAAACAGGAGUUUUCUGAGGUCUACCAUCAGACUCGUCCAACUUAGCAGGAACUGCAGGACCCUUUUCUGGAUCUGUGACAGGAACUUGGCAGUGUCUUAUGUGUGCCCUGCCUCCUUAUUUAAUGCAGUCUCGCUGUGAACUCCUGGUCUUCCUGUCUCAAGCUUGUCAGUGCUAGGACCACAGGUCUAGGUCCUGAACAGAAUCAUCAGCGUAGUUGUGCCUUCUUCCAUGCCCCAAAUAAAGUGAAACUCGGAGGUUAAUUGUGCUUUAAUAGAUUAGUAAUAAACCAAAUUCUAAGUUUUUAAAGAAUAUGAUUUGCGAUAAAUAGUAAAACAAAAGAGUGCCAACUCUACAGAGAGAACUAUAAAACACCUUAGAAAUAAAUUGAAGGCCAGUUUCUAUUGCUGUGAUAUGACCAAAAGCAGCUUGGGAAGAGUUUGUCUCAUCUUGUUCUUCAACAUCACAGUCUGUCAAAGGAAGUGAAGGCAAGAACUUGGAGGUUGCUCCAUUUGCAAAAUACUCUCUUCAUACGAGGCAGCUUUGAAAUUUUCUUUGUCAAUAAAAUUAAUAUAAACCUCCUCACCUUAACUUCAGACACACUCUUCAGACAAGGGCAAAAAGCAGCCACAUUCAUCACCAAAAUAUCACAAGAAUGAUCUCUAGGCAAAAUACUAAGAUUCUUCUCCUCAGAAAACUCUUGAGCCAGGCCCCAACAGUUCAAAUUACCCUUACCACCAAUGUCUUCCACAUUCACAUUGGAGUGGUCCAUUGAGCCCUGCUUAAAGCAUUUUACUGUUUUCCUAAUCCAAAAUAAAUCCAUAGUUCCUU